rnacentral:rRNA from 1 species
CCUACUGGUGACAUCAUUCGAGCAUCUUUCACAAUGGGGGAAACCCUGAUGGUGCGACGCCGCGUGGGGUCCUUCCUUUCUUCUUCUUUUCCCCCCCUUUCCUUUUUUCUCCCCUUACACAUAUAUUACCACAAGAGGAAGAUACGGCUAACUCUGUGCACUCAGCCGCGGUAAUACCGAGCUCUCAAUCUGUUUUCUGAAUCACUGGGCGUAAGGAGUGCUUAGUCUUUAUCGUAAGUCGUGUGUGAAAGGCGCGUGCGCAACACGCGGACGGCACAUGAGAAGGAGAGACUAGAGUAAUGGAGGGGGAACCGGAAUUAUAGGUGUAGAAGUGAAAGGAGUAGAGAUAGAGAGGAACACUCGUGGAGAAGGCGGGUUCAGGGACAUUAAAUGACGCUGAGGCACGAAGGCAAGGGGAGAGAAAGGGAGGAGAGAAAAAAGGAGUC